AUAACAAUACAAGACUCUUUAGAGGCCCUGUAAUUGUAAUGAGUCCACUUGAAAUCCUUUAACUCUGAUUAAUUGGAGGGCAAGUCUGGUGCAGAGCGACUGACCCGUGCGUGCUGCAGCUGAAACUCCACUAUCGCCUGUUGCUUCCCUGAUCCAGUCUCUCCAG